GUGGGUGGCAAGCGUUGUCCGGAAUUAUUGGGCGUAAAGCGCGCGCAGGCGGUUCUUUAAGUCUGAUGUGAAAGCCCACGGGCUCAACCGUGGAGGGUCAUUGGAAACUGGAGAACUUGAGUACAGAAGAGGAAAGCGGAAUUCCACGUGUAGCGGUGAAAUGCGUAGAGAUGUGGAGGAACACCAGUGGCGAAGGCGGCUUUCUGGUCUGUAACUGACGCUGAGGCGCGAAAGCGUGGGGAGCAAACAGGAUUAGAUACCCUGGUAGUCCACGCCGUAAACGAUGAGUGCUAAGUGUUAGGGGGUUUCCGCCCCUUAGUGCUGCAGCUAACGCAUUAAGCACUCCGCCUGGGGAGUACGGCCGCAAGGCUG
rnacentral:rRNA from 1 species